GACGAACGCUGGCGGCGUGCCUAAUACAUGCAAGUAGAACGCUGAAGGAGGAGCUUGCUUCUCUGGAUGAGUUGCGAACGGGUGAGUAACGCGUAGGUAACCUGCCUGGUAGUGGGGGAUAACUAUUGGAAACGAUAGCUAAUACCGCAUAAUAGCAGUUGUUGCAUGAUAACUGUUUGAAAGGUGCAAUUGCACCGCUACCAGAUGGACCUGCGUUGUAUUAGCUAGUUGGUGGGGUAACGGCUCACCAAGGCGACGAUACAUAGCCGACCUGAGAGGGUGAUCGGCCACACUGGGACUGAGACACGGCCCAGACUCCUACGGGAGGCAGCAGUAGGGAAUCUUCGGCAAUGGACGGAAGUCUGACCGAGCAACGCCGCGUGAUUGAAGAAGGUUUUCGGAUCGUAAAGCUCUGUUGUAAGAGAAGAACGAGUGUGAGAGUGGAAAGUUCACACUGUGACGGUAUCUUACCAGAAAGGGACGGCUAACUACGUG
rnacentral:rRNA from 1 species